rnacentral:rRNA from 1 species
CCCGAAAGCUAUUUAGGUAGCGCCUCGUGAACUCAUCUUCGGGGGUAGAGCACUGUUUCGGCUAGGGGGUCAUCCCGACUUACCAACCCGAUGCAAACUGCGAAUACCGAAGAAUGUUAUCACGGGAGACACACGGCGGGUGCUAACGUCCGUCGUGAAGAGGGAAACAACCCAGACCGCCAGCUAAGGUCCCAAAGUCACAGUUAAGUGGGAAACGAUGUGGGAAGGCUCAGACAGCCAGGAUGUUGGCUUAGAAGCAGCCAUCAUUUAAAGAAAGCGUAAUAGCUCACUGGUCGAGUCGGCCUGCGCGGAAGAUGUAACGGGGCUAAACUGUGCACCGAAGCUGCGGCAGCGACGCUUAUGCGUUGUUGGGUAGGGGAGCGUUCUGUAAGCCUGCGAAGGUGUCCUGUGAGGGAUGCUGGAGGUAUCAGAAGUGCGAAUGCUGACAUAAGUAACGAUAA